AUGCAAGUCGAACGCAGUAGCAAUACUGAGUGGCAGACGGGUGAGUAACAUGUGGGAAUCUGCCUUGUGGUUCAGGACAACAUUGGGAAACCGAUGCUAAUACUGGAUAGGCCCUUACGGGGAAAGUUUUAAUGCCAUAAGAUGAGCCCGCAUUUGAUUAGUUAGUUGGUGAGGUAAUGGCUCACCAAGACAAUGAUCAAUAGCUGAUCUGAGAGGAUGAUCAGCCACACUGGGACUGAGACACGGCCCAGACUCCUACGGGAGGCAGCAGUGGGGAAUCUUGCACAAUGGAGGAAACUCUGAUGCAGCGAUGCCGCGUGAGUGAAGAAGGCCUUUGGGUUGUAAAGCUCUUUUGUAGGGGAAGAUAAUGACUGUACCCUAAGAAUAAGGUCCGGCUAACUUCGUGCCAGCAGCCGCGGUAAUACGAAGGGACCUAGCGUAGUUCGGAAUUACUGGGCGUAAAGCGCGCGUAGGCCGUUGAGUUAGUUAAUUGUGAAAUCCCAAAGCUUAACUUUGGAACUGCAAUUAAAACUGCUCGACUAGAGUUUGAUAGAGGAAAGCGGAAUACAUAGUGUAGAGGUGAAAUUCGUAGAUAUUAUGUAGAACACCAGUUGCGAAGGCGGCUUUCUGGAUCAACACUGACGCUGAGGCGCGAAAGUAUGGGUAGCAAAGAGGAUUAGAUACCCUCGUAGUCCAUACCAUAAACGAUGAUUGCUAGAUGUUGGAA
rnacentral:rRNA from 1 species